rnacentral:rRNA from 1 species
UACGUAGGGUGCGAGCGUUAAUCGGAAUUACUGGGCGUAAAGCGUGCGCAGGCGGUGAUGUAAGACCGAUGUGAAAUCCCCGGGCUCAACCUGGGAAUUGCAUUUGUGACUGUACGGCUAGAGUGUGUCAGAGGGGGGUGGAAUUCCAGGUGUAGCAGUGAAAUGCGUAGAGAUCUGGAGGAACACCGAUGGCGAAGGCAGCCCCCUGGGCUAACACUGACGCUCAUGCACGAAAGCGUGGGGAGCAAACAGG